AUUGAACGCUGGCGGCAGGCCUAACACAUGCAAGUCGAACGGUAACAGGAAGAAGCUUGCUUCUUUGCUGACGAGUGGCGGACGGGUGAGUAAUGUCUGGGAAACUUCCUGAUGGAGGGGGAUAACUACUGGAAACGGUAGCUAAUACCGCAUAACGUCGCAAGACCAAAGAGGGGGACCUUCGGGCCUCUUGCCAUCGGAUGUGCCCAGCUGGGAUUAGCUAGUAGGUGGGGUAACGGCUCACCUAGGCGACGAUCCCUAGCUGGUCUGAGAGGAUGACCAGCCACUCUGGAACUGAGACACGGUCCAGACUCCUACGGGAGGCAGCAGUGGGGAAUAUUGCACAAUGGGCGCAAGCCUGAUGCAGCCAUGCCGCGUGUAUGAAGAAGGCCUUCGGGUUGUAAAGUACUUUCAGCGGGGAGGAAGGGAGUAAAGUUAAUACCUUUGCUCAUUGACGUUACCCGCAGAAGAAGCACCGGCUAACUCCGUG
rnacentral:rRNA from 1 species